CUCUUCCUCUCCCUCGCGCACCUGGCUCCCGCCGCCACCCCGCGUCGCCUCUCCCCUUCUCCACCCAUCGCGCCGCCCCUUCUCCUCCCGUCGCGCCGCCCCUUCCCUCGCCGCCUGGUGAAACCCUACCGCGCCGCCGCCCAAGCUCCCCAAUUCCAACACGGCCGUUUCGCCUCCUCCCACCCGCCCUCUUCUUCGCCUGCAACGGGCGCUGCAGCUCCGCCUCCGGCUCGUUUUCCGCACGGGACAAGGAGGAGCCGACGCGGUGGAGCGUGGCGCCGAUGUCGUCGCCAUUUCUUCAUCCGUGUCAUGGUACCGAGAGAUGGCUCAAGGGCGUUGGAUCGAUGCCGUUGUCCUCAGCAGGGUGGAGCUGGGAGCCAUCGCCGUCAUCCUUUCUUCGCGUACGUCGCCAUAUCUGUCGACUACAAAUCCCAGGUUUCUGCUGCCGCUAGGUCCUCCCUCCCGUGGUCACUCUCAUCCGUGGAGGUGCGGACAAGGAGGUCCAGCGCUAUUUGAGGCAAAGCAGCGGAUUAUUUCUCCAUUCACGACUUGACCUAGGUCCUCUCUCCUGUGGUCGCGCUCAGCUAUGGAGAUGCGGAUGAGGUGGUGCAGCACUGUUUGAGGCAAACCAGCAGAUUAUUUGUUCCUCCAUUCACCACUUGACCUACGUCUUGGUUGAAUGAUUCAAUUUAUAGAGGCGAUUACACAAGUUCUGAUUUGAGAUGAUUUUGCUAGAUUAGAUACAAAUAGAAGAAGUGGUUCAAGGAUAACCAUCUCAGAUCGCUAUGAGAAGGGCAGACCAGUGAGGAUUCAGAUCGAUGGGGUGAGUUUUAACAUACAUCUCAAUUUUUAAGUGAAAGCUUUGAUAUGUGUAAGACUUUAGAUUUCUCCAUGAUGAACCUUGGAUUGGUGUUCCUCAAGAUCAACUUGGCUUUCAUAUUCCAGGUUUGCAUCUUCUCUAUAUUUUGAUGCGUUACAGGUUAUUAAAAAUAUUCUGGAUUUAUUGUGUGUAUGGAUGCUGCUGUGAGUUGUACCUUGAUUUCUACAUGAUAUUGGUCCUCAAUUUUUCAGAGAAGAGUGAACUCCAUCCUAAAGUUGCAUUGUAUAUUUACAAUAGAGAUUCAUUGCACUAUCAAACAGGCUUAGUUUCAUAUAAGUUGCUAUGUUAGUCACAAGAAAAUUGUUAGCAUGUUGGCUUACUCCAAUCUAUUUGUCGGUGCAACUUUGAUGAUAUUGACAUAAUAAUAUUGUUACGUUUUUACCCUUUCUUGGCAAAUUGUGCUUGAAUAGGUCAAUUACAAUGUCACUUCACACAUUUAUUUAGAUGGUUGCUGUUGCAUUACACAAUACUGCCACUUUUCUUUUCCAUUUAAUUGUUGCCGAUUUAGUGUUUUUGUAUUUAGAGGCCCUUAAUUAGUUUCUUCCUGAAACCCAUCUGUAAGCAGUUUCGUAGUUGAAUCCCCAGAAGUUUAUUUUUAGUAAUUAGUAAAUGACCAAGUUUAAUGUUUAUGUCUGAAGAUUUUGAUUCAUAUUUUCCUGUGUCUUUUGCUUCCUUUUUUUUAUAUCUUAGUCUGAUGAUUUCCUGAAUAUUCCAAAUGCUCCUACAAUCGGAUCCCUAUAAAAAGCUUUCUUAAUGGUGCUCCCUAUAAGUUUCUUCCCACUAGAGAUGUGUCUGCCGAGAGUGGAGCACACACCAAGAUGUAUUUAUUUGCAAAGUUUGAAUUCAAAAGUUGGACAUACUUUCAAGGCCAGCUAAUUCUCUAAUCAUGCUUUGCUGCCUAUUGAACAAAUUAUAGUUAUAGUCUUAUAGACCAGUUCUACCAACUAUUUUUUUUUAUCUUGGCAAUGCCCACUUUUAUGUACAGGUCAUGGUUCAUUAUGUAGGUGGUUUCGUAUUCUCUUUUCAGGCUUACGUAGUUACUGAGUUGAUCCGAUGUUUUCUCAAUUCCAUAUUAUGCAAAGACAGCUCCUCUACACGUGCAAUUAACUUCUUCUUUUUUGGACAAACAUGUUAUGCCUGUAUUCACAGACCUAGCAGAGGUUUCUUGUCCUUUGGCUUCUUGUACUGCAUUAUUUUUGUGUGCUUGGCACAUUUUCCAUCAAUUAUUCAUGCCUGGAUAAUGAUAGAACGUAAUUUAUUAUGCUUUUGUCUACUUAGAUUAGGUGGCCUAAUAUUUUUUUCAAUUCCAUGGCAGCAGCUUCAUGCAGCACGUCGAGGUACCAAUCAGAAUUAGCCUGGAAGCUAUGAUGAAAAAACUGCGCCUUCCGUGUCCUAAGUACGAAAGCCAGAUUGUUGGAGGAUGCUACUUUUCCACCAAAAUAAUGUUUUACCCUUCUGCACACUUUCUUCGGACUUCCCUCCACCUAGAAGAUGCCUUGGAAAAAACAACAAAUCAAGCUGUGGCAAAAACAAUCAUGUACAUAGAGACGGGAGCGAAGAAGUUCUCAAAGAUUUCAACUACACUGCGCUAGAAAGAUAGAAGAAUGUGAAUAGAGGUCUCCAACGUUGGCUGGACACAAAAAUAAUCAAAGGCUGACAAAGAAGACCAAAUAACUGGUACACUAGGGUGGCCAGAACUUUCAGUUAUUCAUACACUUUGUUUUUCGUAGCGUGAACAUUUCUUAUACCAGUUUCAAAGAACAUUCAUAUAUUUUUAGUUUGCACCAGGACACUACUUCGAAGAGUCCCUGACUGAUAACUCUAUACCAAGGGCACGACCUAUCUCCGGCGAAAGUGGAGUUCAGCAGGCGAUGAAUUGCUGCAAUAUGGCGGUGCAGGGUGAUAUAGCUAGGCUGAAGAAAGGUGGCAGUUAAUCAAGAGAGAACCGUGGAGGCCUGAAAAACACCGGCUGCCAAGGAUCAUCUACGCCUGCUGCCUGCUCACCAACAUCACCAUCAACUGUGAGAACUCCCGAAAAUCUAAACAGCGAAUUGCCGGAGUGAUUGUUGCCCUCAAUCUGGUGUUUCUUCCUUUUUCUGCUUGACGUGGAGCAAAUUGUAUCUACAUGUCACAUAAUUGUAACCCGAUUUUUUUUUACUUUGGAGAUGGCCUGCUUCGUUCGUUAUUACCCGAACUUUUUGUUACCUUAUUUGGUUCCAGUAAAACCUAAGAAACACACAA